ensembl:snRNA U6 U6 spliceosomal RNA
GUGCUUGCUUUGGCAACACAUAUAUACUAAAAUUGGAAUGAUACAGAGAUUAGCAUGGCCCCUGCACAAGGAUGACACGCAAAUUUGUGAAGUCUUCCAUAUUUUU